AAAUUGGCUUUUAAUUGGAGUCUAGAAUGAAAGGGUGGUUUGGAAAGAAUCUGUCUUUUUUAAAUUGUUUAAAACUUUCUAAAAAGAUGAAAAGUUCUUUAUACUAUAUGUUAGACGAGAAGACCCUUAGAGUUUUUACUAAUUGUUAUUAAAAUUUAAUAUUUGUUUUUGUUGGGGCGACAUGGAAGCAAAUUAUAUAACCCUUCCGAUAUUUAUUUCUUUUGCCAGAUAAUAUCAAGAUUAAUUAAACUACCUAAGGGAUAACAGCAUAAUUUUAUUAUAAGAUUG
rnacentral:rRNA from 1 species